rnacentral:sRNA from 1 species
UGGGCCUGUGACUGAAGAUGAAAUCCGCGCUGUUCUGAUGGAAAAGAAGCAAGUCACUACACAGGAUCUU